UCUUCUCUUUCUCUUUCUCUUAUCUUCUCAUUGCCUCCCCUGAAGAGAUUGGGGUUUCAGUCAAAUAGAUUAGAGAUUAUAGUUUGACAACAGUUUCGAUCAUUUAUUUUCAGAUGCAGAUGUGAAUGAAGUUGAUAAGUUGACUGAGAAGCUACAAGGGGUUGGGAUUGCUUCUGCUAGUGCUGAUGGUGCCGUCCUAACAACUUCUAAAGGAACUCCUAGCUUCCGUGGACAGGGAAGAUGUAAUGGUGAGAGGAGAAGGAAGUCUGUCCGUGGGUGCAUCGUGAGCCAAGAGAUGUCUGUGCUGAACUUGGUUUUCUUGAAGAAGGGAAAGAAUGAUCCACCUGGGUUGACUGAUAUGGAGCAUGGGUACUGAGGCAGCAGUAAUGUGAACAGAAUGUGGAAAAGAGGAGAUCCUUCUAGAUUCAUUACUCAUGGGGGUAAUUUCUUAUCAAGUAUAAAGGAUAUCGAGAAUCGGUUUUUCAGAGCUUCUGAAUGUGGAAAAGAGGUGUCCAGAAUGCUUGAAACUAACAAAGUUGUGUCCAAAUUUUCUGAUGGUAAAGAACCUCCAAAACAGGUGAC